rnacentral:rRNA from 1 species
GACGUAGGGCGCGAGCGUUGUCCGGAUUUAUUGGGCGUAAAGAGCUCGUAGGCGGCUUGUCGCGUCGUUCGUGAAAACCUGCAGCUCAACUGCGGGCUUGCGGUCGAUACGGGCAGGCUAGAGUUCGGUAGGGGAGACUGGAAUUCCUGGUGUAGCGGUGAAAUGCGCAGAUAUCAGGAGGAACACCGGUGGCGAAGGCGGGUCUCUGGGCCGAUACUGACGCUGAGGAGCGAAAGCGUGGGGAGCGAACAGG